rnacentral:ncRNA from 2 species
GUGCCGUUACACGGGAGCCCGGUGCACCGGGCUGAGAGGCGGGCUGGGGCAGCCUGCGACCGUCCGAACCUGAUCCGGGUCAUACCGGCGAAGGGAGAGCGAAGUACUUUGA